GCGUUCACCGAAGCUGAAAACCAGAGCACAGAAGGAAAGGGAAGGAUCCCACCCACAACAUCUUAGACCCGGCAUCAAGAGCACAGGUACAUGGAAUUCCAGCUGAACUCCCGUUAGCUCCUAGGAGAGCCUGAGGAAGCAGAGGAGGUACGGGUGCUCAAGAAGACGGGAGAGCCACACCUCGGCACAGCAGGGCAAAUGUGCAGAUAAGAAGCACAAGCUAAGGCACCCAGAAGAGACCAGAUGCCCCAAGGGAGGCUUUGACCAAGGAUGCCUAUAAGUAGGCUGAGAGGAUUUUAAUAGGCAGAGUUUGGAAAUACAGAAGGCUGAUUUGUGUUCUCCUUUUAUUCCCAUUGUUUUUCUGCCUAGAUAGGAUAACCUUUCCCUCUGCCAUCAAGAGUCACAUCAAACUGUCCCUUUGUUGACCCUCUUCCAGACAAGAUUAGUAGCCCCACCAUUACCUCCCAAGGAUCACUUGCCCACCUAUAAAAGCACUGCUGUAAUUUGAUGUAAUUUUUGUGAGAUUGUCACCCAUCAAGUUCAGACCCGAAGCAGUGACAUGAUCAAAGGAACUGUCCACCACCAAAAGCUAAUUUUAAAAUAUGUCUCAGACAACGUAGAGGUGAUACUAG
rnacentral:lncRNA from 1 species